rnacentral:rRNA from 1 species
CACGAAGUUAGCCGGGGCUUCUUCUCCGGUUACCGUCAUUAUCUUCACCGGUGAAAGAGCUUUACAAUCCUAAGACCUUCAUCACUCACGCGGCAUGGCUGGAUCAGGCUUGCGCCCAUUGUCCAAUAUUCCCCACUGCCGCCUCCCGUAGGAGUUUGGGCCGUGUCUCAGUCCCAAUGUGGCUGAUCAUCCUCUCAGACCAGCUAUGGAUCGUCGCCUUGGUAGGCCUUUACCCCACCAACUAGCUAAUCCAACGCGGGCUCAUCAUACCCCGAUAAAUCUUUCCCCCGUAGGGCGUAUACGGUAUUAAUUCCAGUUUCCCGGAGCUAUUCCGUAGGGCACGGUAGAUUCCCACGCGUUACUCACCCGUCUGCCGCUCCCCUUGCGGGCGCUCGACUUGCAUGUGUUAAGCCUGCCGCCAGCGUUCGUUCUGAGCCAGGAUCAAACUCU